AGUAGAGGAUCAAAGACUAAGAACGCCGCGUCCUGCGGCAGCGCCGUUGGCUCCCAUCACCGGGGG
rnacentral:sRNA from 1 species